CUUCAUAGAUAUGGAGAACAGAUUGGUAGUUGCCAGAGUCAUGGCGUGGGAGAGUGAAUGAAGUGGGUGAAGGUGGUCAAAAGUUACAAACACCCAGUUAUAAAAUAAAUAAGUCCUGGGAUAUAAUUACAAUUAAUCAUACUUUAUUGCAUAUUUGAAUGUUGCUAACGUUGCUAAGAGAUCUUAAAAGUUCUCAUCACAAGGAAAAAAAGGUAACUGUGUGGUGAUGUGUGUUAACUAGACUUAUUGUGAUUAUUAUGCAGUAUAUACAUAUAUCAAAUCAUGUUGUAUACCUUAAAUUAAUAUACAACAAUUAAAAAAGAUUUAAAAAGAAAUUAAGUAUACACAUCAAUACAUUAAACACUGCUUUACAAUCCUGCUAUGAAGAAAUCCGUUGAUCCAUUGUAUCCAAAGUAAAUGGCUGGCCACAGGAUGUGUUUUUCAAGAAGCAUCUCAUAAAAUACUUCUUUUUAUUCAGUCCCCAUAAGACCAGUAACAUCCUGGGCAACAAAGUUGUGGAAGAGCUGUCAUAUAGAACAAUUUCCCUUACAAAAUUUCUAAUUUUCAGGCUAGGAAUGAUCAUUUUCUUAGACGCCUUCAUUCCAUCAUAAGGAACAUCAACUGAUGUUUCACAAGAGUGUUUCUAUCACUUAUAUAUAUGUGACAAGUAAAGAAUAAAAAAGCUGUGGUGUUAUGUGGGCAGUGGGUGGGUUGCUGGAAUCACGAUUUCUUAAGAAGCUACCACACCAACACUGAACAUUUAAUGUUCAAAUUAGUGCUUUGCCCAAAAUGUAAUUCACCACAUGUGAGGAACCUUCCAGAUAUCUUAACAAUAGUCUGUUCAAGGGUGUAAAUACUAUAUAUUAGGUGUCAUAUGCUAACAGUGACAAUUCAGACUGUAAGGAUAAACUCUCUUGAGAAAGUAUUUAGAAAUAGAGAUCUAGGGCCUAAACCCUGGGAAAUGCUUUGUUGUUACAGGAAUGAAGGCUUAAGGUUGUCGCAGGUGAUCAGAAGUACUCCAGCUACUAAUUGAUCUCUGCACCAGUGAGAAGGUCUCUAGACAAUUUCUUGAUCUCUCCACCUUAACCAACGGCAAAAUAAUUAUUUUUACAAGGAGGUAUAAUCAUGGCUAAAGUUUUCUGAGAUCUUCAGAUAAAAGUUUAAGUGAGAUAAUGUUUUAACUACUGAACAUAGCAAAGUGGCUUGCUAAAGUAAACAUAUAAGGCAUAUUAUGAAGACAUAAUACCACAAAGGUUGUAUAUAAGAAGAAAACAAUUUGUUGAGAAAGAGGAAUAGGAUAUAUAAAAACACUAAAGCAGUCACACAAGUAAAUUAACUAUAGUCUAAUUCAGAACAAACUCCCCUCCUUGACUGAAAAGGGACAAUUUUCCUAAGUCGACAACUUAGCUGACUAUUUGGCUGACUAUAUAUUGACUGCAACAUGUAAAAUGAGAAAAACAUCAGUUCUGUACACUACAUAUACAGAACAUUUAACCAAAAAGGUUAACCUCCCCACCCAUGAGUUUUUGUUGCAUGAAAAUGUAUUAUACUCAGAUAAUACCCAUCAUCCUUUUCAAGACAAUGAAAAUUUUAGCUUUAGUAUGUGAGAUGGUAUAUCAUUCCUAUAGAGGAUAAUUAGAAAAAGGAGUGCAAAAUGAAAGCCUGCAUAAAAGCAGACAUUUCGGCAAUGUAGCCUUGUGAAAAAAGAAACUUGAGAGAAGUAGAGUUAAACUUUGGAUCCGUGAGAGGAAGAGGCUCUCAGCCAGGUGUUAGGACUCUGCUCUGAAGGACCCUCGCAUGGGCCACCUUAGGGUGGAGCUAAAACUACACAUAACCUUCCCUGUACACUGCGAGGGGGCUUGAGAAAGCACAGUUUGGCCAUUCUCAACCUUAAGUCUCUCAACCUUAUUUUUCCCAUACGAUUUUAAGUUCCUCAACCAUAAGAGAGGGUUUAUAAUUAUGUGGACUAUAUAUGUUUUCACAAAUUGUAGUUAUUCCAAAGAAAAAAGACACUGAAGAACUUAAUAGGAAAAAAAGUGUUAGAGAUAAUUGUUUGGAGUUUAUAAAAUAAAGAACUAGACAAGAUGAUGUUUAAUGCCAUUGUAUUUCUACAGUGCAAUGGAAUUUCUGUGUAUUCACUUAUAAUCCCUAUAUGGUCUAGCUCUCAAUUGUUUCCUUACUGACUCUCAUAAAGCCUGUCAAGCAUGGAAAACCAGAAAAAUCCAUUAUAAACCUGUGCUGUUCAGAGAAUGUGACAUUUCAGAUUUCACCUACAUGUGAUAUUUUGUUUUAUUCAUACUCACUGAUCUGUUCUCUAUGUUAAAAUUUUAUCUAAAGAGUUUGCCUACUCCAGUAGAAAUAACUCUUAUGUUAAACACUAACCGUGUUUUCAUUAAAUUCCUUCUUUGGGGAAGUUUCAAGGGUGUGGUUAGCUCUUAGAGCUGUAGUUCUCCAAGUGAGAUCCCCAAACCGUAAGAAACUUAUAAGAAAUUUGAAUUCUUGAAUCCUACACCAGACCUACUGAGGAUGGGUUCCAGCCGUGAGAUUUAAGAAGCCCAUCAGAUGAUUCUAAUAUACUAAAGCUUAAAAAUGACUGUUUUAAGAGGAUCAGAAUCCUAAUUCCCUCCCAUUUCUGUUGAUUCUAAGAGCCAUAUAUAUCUGUUGUGUUCUCAAAGUAUCUCAAAGAAACUCUAAAGUUACUAAAAUAAUCUUUCAUCAGAAGAGACAGUGGUAUUUGUAUGUUGUUCUUUCUAGGACCUGAUGAGAAUAAUAGACUAAUAGUCUGCUCUCUGCCAAUAAGACUAACUUCAAGAGGCCUCAGGAACUUUGAAUUUACUGAACUAGUGCUCACCGCUUCAGCAGAGGCAGCCUCACAUCUGUUCAGGCUCUCUAGGGUGCUGGAUAAUGUCACCAGAAUCAUUCUCAAUAUAAGAGAAUUAUCUAAUCAGAGAGGCAUAAUGGAAAGGGACAAGGAGAAAGAGGAGACAAAUGCAAGAACAUCUUGAUAGCUAGAAAGCCAAUGGAAGUUGGGUACUAAAUUACAGCAGAUCCAAAAAAGCUGAAUUUGGCCAGAAUGGAGAAAAGUGAAAAACAACCCGAUUUCCACAACACACCCCCUAAAAGACUCUAGAAUUAAGAGUAUCUGGUAUUUUUGGAGGUCAAGGUGAUGGUAGAGCUUAAAACAGCAGGACUGGUUGAAAAUAUGUUUUAAAAGCAACUAGACUUUCUGCAACUCCUAUACUUUGCACAUGAAACUGGACUCUUGGACUGGUCUGAGAGAUACCAGGCACUGCUGAUGACAGAAUACCAUACUAAUAACUCAGGAAUAAUAUGAGAGUUUACAGCUUUCUUCCUCGCUUUGGGUUCUACAAUGAUGACAGCCAGCAUUCUAGGCAAGAGAGCCUUCUCUGGAGAAUCUGAAACUGGCUAAAACACUGGUUCCCUACGUGUGGUCCAGGAACUUCUCAGAUUCCCUAGAUCCUUUCAGAGGGAAGUUACUGGAAGAUGUGCUUUCCCAAAUGAGGUCAUAAUCAAGAAAAGGAAGACAUGAGAUCCAGGGAACAGGGGACCCAAUGGACGGGAGAGGCAAAGUGAAUCUACAAAUGAUACUGAGGGAAGAUCCCAAGAUAAAAGCUAUGAAGCAGAUCUAGAGAACCAGUCAAGACUGCAGCAGAUCAGGAGAGUAGAAAGAUUACUGAAGACAAGAAACUGAUGAAUUACCCAGUGUUUCUGCAUAUACUAACAGGAUAUUUACACAACUGGGAAGUGUUUGGGAUUAGCGAUGUUGAGAACACAGAAAACUAAACAAAUGAACAAACUACAUGAUUAUUAAUUUCAGGGAAAACAAAAUAUUGUACAGGAAAGUAACCAUCAAAUACUACAUAGCUCAACUAUGAAUAGCAUUUAUAUAAUUACAAUAAUUUAAUUGCUGACUAUGAUAUAACUACAUUGGGGGAUGGUGGAAUGAGAAAUGUGCUUGCAUGUAGCAGUAGUAGGGGUGCUGGUCAGGGAAAGGUAAAUCUUCAUCUUUGUUAGUGGGAAGUUGAUAUAUAAUGACUAUUUCUGAAAAAUCAAGUAAUAUGUUAAUUAAAAAUGAGAUUAAUACCAAAGGAAUGAGAGGCAAAAGUGAUUCCCUCUGAAGAACAAGAAAUGACUCUCCAAAUUAUGUUAAUAUAUGUGAUACAAACUAAAUUUAAAUACUAAACUAUACAAAUGAUACCUAACUGGAGCUGUGAAUGACAGAUACUCCUUCAAAGAUGGCAAAAUAUAUUUUAUGCUAUUAUGGUUUUCUUGUCAAUUGCGUUCAUGUUGCAGCUCAGGUCACAUUUCUCACAAGACAGAUACACUAUUUCCCACUUGUGAAAAAUUGAAAAGCAAAGCAGAGCCACUGUGGAAGGUUAACACUCCAAAGUAUUCUGUGGGAAUAUUUCCCCAGCUCUUGCCCACCCUCACUCUGGGUCAAAGGUUAAGGACUGGGACAACUAGCCUUAGAACUGACAUCAUGUAUGUAUGUCAAGAUAGUGGUCAAGGCAGACCAUGGAGCCUGGGCUAAAAGCAUAAAAGCUCCCAGCUGUCAAACAGCAAUGGCCACAAGGAUGAAUCUGAGCUCAGUACAACAGAAUCACAGGGAAAGGUAUGAUUAAAAUGAGUCAGAGUCUGGGAAGCCAUGGGAAAGUUGAGUGGUGGCUUGCCAGUUCUCUAACAGCCUACGUGCACAAAUAUUUACUUCUAACUGACCCUUUAACUAAGUAGGGAGUAAAAUAUCUAAUGUAAAUAAUGCAAUCUACACAGUGACACUACUUUUAGGAUCGCUUCACCCUACAAAAUAUGCUGAUAUGUAUAUUAGCAUCACAUCAGGGUUAACAUUUUGUGAAUAAACCAGAAAUCACACUGCUCAUAGCCCAUAUGCUUCAGAUCGAGAUGAAUAGAUAAGUCUGGAAAUAGGACUUGAAAAAUAAGACUCAGAAAGUACAUCAAUAAAAGUAGAAAAUACUGGAGUAUAAUACAUAAUGCUUCCAGGACUAGGAGGCCUCCGGAUACAAUGUACCAGAAGCAUUUCUAUCAGAAAUAGAAAUAACAUUUACUAAGCACCUACUAUGUGCCAGGCAUUAUACUAGUACAUUAAUGCUAUUUUAUUUCAUCUUUACAAAUCUAGGAAUUGUUAAAUCUCUUUUACAGACGAGAAAACAAGCUAAAAGUAGGGAUGUAAUUGGCCAAAAUUAUAGUCAAUUAGUUACAGAGCUGGAACUUGAAACCAGCAUUUUCUGGCUCCAAAAGCCAUCUUUCCACUAACCUCAUUGUUAAAUAUGUGAAACCCUCUACUGGGACCAGGACUUAAAUGGUUACGAAAGGGUACUAAAAAUUAGUUAAUCACCUUCAGUAUAAGUGGUCAUUCAAAAUUCCAAUAAGAUACACUCAAACAAGAUUCCUAUCAUACUUCUUCAAGUACAGUAGGAAUUAAUUUCAAAUAUACCCACAUAUAUUAAAAUAAGUUGGUCAACUAAAAUAAUUUAAAAAUAAGGCAUAGAUUACUAUCACUUUCAGGAAGGAAAAAAUUUCCCUUCAGGGUAUAUUCUGAACACCACAUCGGCACCACUCAUUUGAGGACUUUACCACCCAAAAGCUUUCAGAGAAAGAAACUAAUACUAAAUAUUUCUAUUUAGACUAAUAAAGUAAUUUUAUUUACUGUUUUUCACAAUUUAGAGGCUUCUAUAUAAAAGACCAAAUGAUCACUUUGGUUGUUUUGGUAAAUGUCAUACUAGAUGACAUAUAUAUGAUGUUACUGCAAGACUAUUAAUCAAACUGACAUUGUGCUCCAUAGUGCAGAGGGAAAUUUUGUUCUUCAAAUGUUCUGUCCAGCGUUGUACUCUCACCCAAAAUUCACAAAUCUACCCCUACCAGUCCCAUUCUCCUUUUCUCUUUUAUAAAUUUUACUGAGGUGUAAUUCAGUCAUUUAAAGUGUAUAAUCUGACUAAUUUUGAAGACAUACGUACCCAUGAAGCUGUUACCACAAUCAAGAUAAAACUUUCCAUCACCUCUAAAAGUUUUCCAAUGCCCCUUUAUAGUCUAUCCCUCUAUCAACCCUCAGGCCCAAGCAACUAUUCAUAUGCAUUCUGUCAUUUUAGAUUGGUUUGCAUAUUCUAGAAUUUUACAUAACUAGAGUCACAGAGUAUGUAAUCAAAUUUUGAGUCUGGCUUCUUUCACCAAGCUUAUUCUGCAAUUUACCCAAGUGUAUCGGUGGUUGGUUCUUUGUAUUGCUGAGUAGCAUUUCAUUGUACAGAUACACUUUUUGUUUAUCAUUUCUCUUAUUAAUGAGUAUGUGGCUGUUUACAGUUUGGGCUAUGAUAAAGCUGCUGUGAAAUAUACAAAUCUUUGUGCAGACAUAUAUUUGUAAUGAUACUGGGAAAAUAGCUAAAAGUAGAAUGGCUGAGUUGCAUGACAGAUAUAUAACUUUUUUAAGAUAUUACUAAAAAGUUAGUAUUUCAAGAAAUGGUAAAGAGACUUCUGUAAAAAAAAAAA